rnacentral:rRNA from 1 species
CUUCGGAUUGUAAACCCCUUUCGGCAGGGAAGAUGGAAUGGGGUAACCCAUUCGGACGGUACCUGCAGAACCAGCCACGGCUAACUUCGUGCCAACAGCCGCGGUAAUACGAAGGUGGCAAGGGUUAUUCGGAUUUACUGGGCGUACAGGGAGCGUAGGCGGUUUGGUAAGCCCUCUGUGAAAUCUCCAGGCUUAACCUGUAAAAGUCGGAAGGGACUGCUGGGCUAGAGGACUGGAGAGGAGCGCGGAAUUCCCGGUGUAUCGGUGAAAUGCGUACAGAUCGGGAGGAAGGCCGGUGGCGAAGGCGGCACUCUGGAACGUUUCUGACGCUGAGGCUCGAAAGCGUGGGGAGCAAACAAGAUUACAUACCCUGGUAGUCCACGCCUUAAACUAUGAAUACUAAGUGUCGGCAGUUUACUGCCGGUGCCGCAGCUAACGCAUUAAGUAUUCCGCCUGGGAAGUACGGCCG